rnacentral:lncRNA from 1 species
UUUUUUACAACUCUCAGUUUUUUCGAAUAAUCUUUUCUCAUCAAUCCGCAGAGACCAACGCUCUGUGCCAGAGUCCGAGUCCUCCCAGAUCGCGACUCCCCACGCUUGAGCCAAAAGUGACGAAGAAGCGCUCGUAACCAUUGUCUGGGAGAGUUCCCAGGGAAGGGACCUGACGCCGCCUCUUCAGCCCUUGAACAUUCUUUCAUUCGCUUUCGAGGAGCCCCUUUUCAAUCGCUACGAUGCCGACCGGGC